rnacentral:rRNA from 1 species
AUUUUUUAGAAUUGAUUAAAAAUGAUUUCUGCUCAAUGUGAAAUAAAUGGCCGCGGUAUUUUGACUGUGCAAAGGUAGCAUAAUAAUUAGUCUUAUAAUUGAAGACUGGAAUGAAAGGACAAACUAGAAAACCCCUUUUUUAAUUAUUAUUUUUCAAACUUUACUUUUUAGUAAAAAGGCUAAAAUGAAUCUUUUAGACAAGAAGACCCUAUAAAGCUUUACAUAAAAUAAUCUAAUGUAUUAAAAAUAUGUUUGACUGGGGCGGUAAAAGCAAAAACAGCUUUAGAUUGUUGAAAUAUAACAAUUGUAAUACCCAGAAUUUUUGAAACUAAAUAAGUUACUUUAGGGAUAACAGCGUUAUACAUUUUGAAAGCUCAAAUUGAUAGAUGUGUUUGCGACCUCGAUGUUGGAUUAAAUUUUCUUUGUUGUGCAAGAGGAAUGAGAGAAAGUCUGUUCGACUUUUAAUAAUUUCCA